UCCUACGGGAGGCAGCAGCCGAGAAUAUUUGUCAAUGGGCGAAAGCCUGAACGAGCGACGCCGCGUGUGGGAAGAAGGUUUUCGGAUUGUAGACCACUUUUAUUCGGGAGAAAUCCGCAAGGAUGAUAGUACCGAAUGAAUAAGGGGUUCCCAACUCUGUGCCAGCAGGGGCGGUAAUACAGAGACCCCGAGCGUUAUCCGGAAUUAUUGGGCGUAAAGCGUCUGUAGGCGGUUUAAAUAGUGAGAUGUCAAAUGUCGAAGCUCAACUUCGUCACCGCAUCUCAAACGUUUAGACUAGAGCAUAUGGGAGGCUGAUGGAACU
rnacentral:rRNA from 1 species